UACGAAGGGGGGCUAGCGUUGCUCGGAAUCACUGGGCGUAAAGCGCACGUAGGCGGAUUGUUAAGUCAGGGGUGAAAUCCUGGAGCUCAACUCCAGAACUGCCUUUGAUACUGACGAUCUGGAGAUCGGGAGAGGUGAGUGGAAUUCCGAGUGUAGAGGUGAAAUUCGUAGAUAUUCGGAGGAACACCAGAAGCGAAGGCGGCUCACUGGCCCGAUACUGACGCUGAGGCGCGAAAGCGUGGGGAGCAAACAGG
rnacentral:rRNA from 1 species